UACGUAGGUCCCGAGCGUUGUCCGGAUUUAUUGGGCGUAAAGCGAGCGCAGGUGGUUUAUUAAGUCUGGUGUAAAAGGCAGUGGCUCAACCAUUGUAUGCAUUGGAAACUGGUAGACUUGAGUGCAGGAGAGGAGAGUGGAAUUCCAUAUGUGGCGGUGAAAUGCGUAGAUAUAUGGAGGAACACCGGUGGCGAAAGCGGCUCUCUGGCCUGUAACUGACACUGAGGCUCGAAAGCGUGGGGAGCAAACAGG
rnacentral:rRNA from 1 species